CAUACAAAACGGUCACUAUAUAAAGGAUCAGGACGACAAUCGUUGUCGCCAGUCGUCGAGUAGUCGUCGCCAUGUCGUCCCGCGUGCUAUCACGAGUUCCUCACAUCGCUCUUUUACUGCCUGUCCUGCUGAUGUUGUUCGCCAGCGUCAGCGGACAGCUGGACUACGUCGGCGAGGUGUUCGGAGCUCUCAUCACCAACAAGAUCGAGCGCUGCGUCGACAAACUGAACGCUCUGGCUGCGCUGUUCGGAGGGAUGGGCGGCGCGGACGACACCACAGACACGUGAACCGACACUCCAUCGACUAGAUGGCGCUGUGCGACGUCAAUAACUCCAGCUGUUUAGUUUAAAUAUUUAUUGCUGUUUCUUCUUCUUCUUCUUUUAUUUUUGGCAUACGACCGUGUAAGCAAUAAGAAUUAAGCCUGUCAAAAUUAAUUUAUUACAAAAAGUUAAUUUAUCUUUACUGUUUUUUGUCAUUGGCAUGAAAUAAAUAUUUUAGAUUUA